GAUGAACGCUGGCGGCGUGCCUAAUACAUGCAAGUAGAACGCUGAAGGAAGGAGCUUGCUCUUUCCGGAUGAGUUGCGAACGGGUGAGUAACGCGUAGGUAACCUGCCUGGUAGCGGGGGAUAACUAUUGGAAACGAUAGCUAAUACCGCAUAACAGUAGAUGUUGCAUGAUAUCUACUUAAAAGGUGCAAUUGCACCACUACCAGAUGGACCUGCGUUGUAUUAGCUAGUUGGUGAGGUAACGGCUCACCAAGGCGACGAUACAUAGCCGACCUGAGAGGGUGAUCGGCCACACUGGGACUGAGACACGGCCCAGACUCCUGCGGGAGGCAGCAGUAGGGAAUCUUCGGCAAUGGACGGAAGUCUGACCGAGCAACGCCGCGUGAGCGAAGAAGGUUUUCGGAUCGUAAAGCUCUGUUGUAAGAGAAGAACGAGUGUGAGAGUGGAAAGUUCACACUGUGACGGUAUCUGACCAGAAAGGGACGGCUAACUACGUG
rnacentral:rRNA from 1 species